rnacentral:lncRNA from 1 species
GGAAUAGGCUAUACUGGGGCAUACCAAUUUAAAACAAAAUUAUAAACUUAGUGUAUUUUUAAUCAUUCACUCUGUUCUGUUUUCUUUGCAUUUGUGUCACAGGGUAUAUGCAUGGGCCACAUGAUCUAAUGUACCAAACAGUUUCUGGAGAAGGAAGCCAUAUCUAUUUCCUAGAGAAGAAAUGUUCAAGUGUCCGUGGAAGGAAGAGAUGA